rnacentral:misc_RNA from 1 species
GAUGAUGAACGCAGCGAAAUGCGAUACGUAAUGUGAAUUGCAGAAUUCAGUGAAUCAUCGAAUCUUUGAACGCAUAUUGCGCUCUUUGGUAUUCCGAAGAGCAUGCUUGUUUGAGUAUCAGUAAACACCUCAACCUCUUCUUGAUUUUUCAAAAGGAGGGUGGACUUGAGCUAUCCCAACAACCUUUACCGGUCGGCGGGCGGCUUGAAAUGCAGGUGCAGCUGGACUUUUAUCUGAGCUAAAAGCAUAUCUAUUUAGUCCUCGUCAAACAGGAUUAUUACUUUUGCUGCAGCUAACAUAAAGGAUAAUUGUCCUCUUUGCUGACUGAUGCAGGAUUUUACGACACUUUAUGUGUUGUUCAACUCGAUCUCAAAUCAAGUAAGACUACCCGCUGAACUUAAGCAUAUCAAUAAGCGGAGGA